CAGAAGUCAGGUCGGAUUAAGCCAUAGUACGGAAAAAACUAUGCUACCUGUGAGCCCCGUCCAAGGACGUAAAAAGAAGUCAGGCCACUACAAGUGCCAUAGCUUGAGUAAACUAUGCAGCCUGUAGCUCCACCUG
rnacentral:lncRNA from 1 species